rnacentral:tRNA from 1 species
GCAGUGUGGUUCAGUGGUAGAAUUCUCACCUUCCAUGUGGGAGACCCGGGUUCGAUUCCUGGCCAGUGCA